CCCUUAGACGUUCUGGGCCGCACGCGCGCUACACUGACCAGUGCAACAAGCAUCCGUCCUUGGCCGACAGGCUCGGGCAAUCUUUGAACGCUGUUCGUGAUUGGGAUAGACCUUUGCAAUUAUGGGUCUUCAACGAGGAAUUCCUAGUAAACGCAAGUCAUCAGCUUGCAUUGAUUACGUCCCUGCCCUUUGUACACACCGCCCGUCGCACCUACCGAUUGAAUGGUCCGGUGAAAUCUCGGGACGGCGGCUUGGUCGCUUGCGUCCGACUGCUGAAACUUGAUUAAACCAUAUCAUUUAGAGGAAGGUGAANUCGUAACA
rnacentral:rRNA from 1 species